ensembl:lncRNA
CAAAUCGCUCCUUGGGCGCCAUUUUGUAGUCCGCUGUCCUUUCUAUAAUAUGUCCUUGCAGCAGACCAAUCGUUUAGCAAUUUUGGGCAGAGAUUUGAGCAGCGUUCAGCCAAUGGUUGAGAAAUGUUGAGCAGAGUUGAGCAGCGUUCAGCCAAUGGUUGAGAAAUUUUGGGCAGAGAUCAUCGCCCAACAGACCAAUCAUUGAGCGAGGAUCGGUAUACGUCAGCUAAUUUCUUCGCGACUCAUAAAUAUAUUCACGAUCAAGCCGGCCAUUGCCACUAGUUCGGUGAAGCGGUCAACGGAGGAUUCACUCAGGUACAAGGAGGAACAUUAUUUUGGAGGACCCGCCGACAAUCAAUCUCUAAUCAGAGGAGACUCUGUCGGCCUGUGACUCCAGGGUGACUAUGGAGCACGGCACCCGCCAUGGAACUCAUGAAAGCCCCGUACUUGGCUUGGCUCUGCUUGAUCACAGAGGCGUCCCAGCGGUGCAGCCAGUGGCGGAUGUCCAGCCUGAUGACAGUACCCCUCUUCACCCAGUCACCAAACAGGUUUCAACUGCUAUUGAACUCACCGACAGCAGUUGGUGUCCACGUACAACACCUUCGGAGCAGGAGCGGCGAAAGCGGGCGACUGAUCUCUGGCCAUGCGUGCGUAGCACUCCUCCGACUCAGACGCAACCACCACCGUGGUCAAGAACUGACCCAAUUUAUUCAGCACGCUGGUCAGGUACGGCAUGGUGCCCUGGCCGUCGCCGUAGACCUUCUUGAGAAGCUAUAAAAACAAAGCAGAACAUUCAUUGUGUGGAGUGAUCAUAUGGAACAGACUGUUGAUAAACAAGUACUCUAUGCUGUACAUACCUUCCUCGUGCCGUCGAUGCACAAGAUCUCCCCAGCGGUGCUGAGGAUCUGGUCCCUGUACAGGGGCAUCUUCUCCAUCUCCAGGAUCUGGUGCGCGCGCCUCAGGACCCGAGCAGACGGAAGACGAGACGGGGCGAUGGGAGGGUGUGUAAGUGCCAGCCGCUCUGGCAAAAGAAAGGAUGCCUCGCUGAGAGGAAGAGGAUCCAGCCGCCGACGUGUGGGCGUCGUACAGUAGGGUCUGGUACAGGUCCCGACGCUCCACGUACCACUCGUCGUGGCCCUGCUGCAGCAGCCUCUGCACCUUGGCCAUGGACACCGCGUUGAGUCGGUCACUCAUCAGGGUGAUCACACUCCUGUCCAAAGGCAUGCUUGCCACAGAGAAUGGCAGGGAACAUCCUUCUGACUUCCGGGGCGAGACUCAUCAGCAAUUAGUACUGCUGCUGCUGCUUCUGGGCGUCGUCGGCCUCAUCGUUGUCGCUGUCGUCUGCGUGCGCCUGGCUCAGCCCCUCCGUCAACUUGCGACAGUGCUUGCACAUCAACAUCUCGGUCAGUAGGGUGUAGUGGAAGUUGGGGCUGCACACUUGCCUGGCGAAGCUGCCGUACCCUUUCUUCUCCAGGUAGUACUCUGGCGGUGCGGGGCAGUUUGUGUUGUGGCAGCGGAUCAAUGCCUUCAUCACGCCGACCGGGCGCCAGAAGAAGGCAGAGGUGGUGAAGAAAGAGAGCAUGUUUGGCACAGCUCCCUUGACGGCCAUAGGAGGAGGGGGCGGAUGGAACUUCUCCUUCAACACCUUCCUCUCGGCCAUCACACCCCUCUGCUUCUUAUAACUGGACGCCCUCUCGAACAGCCCGUAGGUCUCGUUGGUCUUCAGCCACUUGAUGUUCGCAGGGGAUAUACCAGUGGCUUGGGCGGAUUCAGGCGGCUGCUCCCAGAACUUCUGCCAGCCCUCCACCUUGAAGGCACCGGGUUCCGAGGUCUCUCGGAGGGACGAGGGUCCGGCGGGCCUGUCGUCCUGGCACACAGAGCUGGCUAGGUCUCCCCAGGUGGUCAGCUGUGUGGUGACCGACGCUUCGGACUCAUCCAGGACACUCUGAAGAGGACAACACCACAAAAAUGUAUCAACUGCAUUACUAUACCUGCAGCAGCCAACAACUCUGCAUCGCUGGCGUAGUUGAGGUCCUGCUGAGAGAGGUUGGGGACGGUCGGAGGAGCCCGGUCUUUCAUCGAAUGCGCUUUCUGCAGAAAAUAAAACGCAACCAUGGAAUAACCUCAUAAAAUAAGACUUUUACUAAUACUGGAACAGCAUUCACACCAGCCAGCCGACAUCAUUCUCCACAAGCCACCUGAAGGUCUGACCGGCGUACUUCCCGAACGUGAUGACCAGCUGACCUUUCCACAGCUCACCCCCCGACCUCUUGGCAGCCGCCUCUGCUGUCUUGAGAUCUAGCCAUUUAGAGUCAACAACAGUGCUGCUACAGACCUUGCUGCCUCUGUACAGUACAGCCUGGCCUCUCCUUGCCGGUACAAAAUGAUGUUGGGGUACUGGUGUAGCUGUUGAAGCUGGACGCCCUCUCGAACAGCCCGUAGGUCUCGUUGGUCUUCAGCCACUUGAUGUUCGCAGGGGAUAUACCAGUGGAUUGGGCGGAUUCAGGCGGCUGCUUCUUGAUGGCUGACCAGUGAUGGUUUAGUGGCCAUUGGCCAAGCUCUUCCCGCAGACAUCACAGAAAUUGAGCCGCGGUCCCCAGUGGGAUAGGCAGAGUACACUCCACUGCAACACUGAGGCGAUGACAAUACACAAUGAUCAAUCAUCAAUAAAGAGGAUAUACAUGACAUUAAAAUGUAUGGGUGUUUUUCCAUUAUUUCCCUUAUGGUUUAUAAAAAACGACAGUGUUACCCCUUAUAUUUUAUUUGACAAAGACAACAGUGUUACCCCUUAUGGUUUUUUUCAUGACGACCAAAGAAUAAUGACAGUGUCACCCCUCAUGUUUCAUUUGAUAAAAACGACAGUGUUACCCUUCAUGUUUCAUUUGAUUAAAAUUACAGUGUUACCCCUUCUGUUUUUUUUCAUGACGACCAAAGAAAAAUAAGAGUGUUACCCCCUAUGUUUUAUUUGAUCAAUAUCGACAGGUUUACCCCUUAUGUUUAUUUCAUGACGGCCGAUAAAAAACGACAGUGUUACCCCUUAUGUUUUUCUUCAUGACGACCAAUGAAAAACAACAGUGUUACCCCUUGUGUUUAUUUCAUGACGGCCGAUAAAAAACAACAGUGUUACCCCUUAUGGAUUUUUCAUGACGACAGAUAAAAAACGACAGUGUUACCCUUUACGUUUCAUUUGAUAAAAACGACAGUGUUACCCCUUAUGUUUUUUUCCCAUGAUGACCGAUAGCAUUACGUUUCAAAUUAAAGAUAUUGUGUUUCCCACAAAAAUUGAGCCGCGGUCACCAGUGCGUUAGGCAGAGUACACUCCACUGCACCACUGAGGCGAUGAAAAUUCACAAUGCUCAAUCAUCAAUAAAGAGGAUAUACAUGACAUUAAAAUGUAUGUGUUUUUCUAUUAUUUCCCUUAUGUAUUUUUCAUAACGACCGAUAAAAACAACAGUGUUACCCCUUGUGUUUUUUUUCAUGACGACCAAUAAAAAACAACAGCGUUACCCCUUAUGUUUUUUUUCAUGACGACCGAUAAAAAACGGCAGUGUUACCCCUUAUGUUUUUUUUCAUGACGAAGAUAAAAAAACGACAGUUUUUUAUUGGUCGUCAUGGUUUUUUUCAUGACGACC